rnacentral:rRNA from 1 species
GCUGUAAAUCUAGCUUAAGCACAAUUCAAGUCAACACUAUUAAAAAAUUAUGUGACAAACAAACAAACUAAAACAUUCUACCACCCUAGUAUGUGAGACAGAAAAG